CCGAGUGUCAAGGUUGAUUGAGCUCAGGUGUAACUCGCCAUUUUGUGGUCGGUGGUUACCGUUAGUUUGCUUCAUUGGAAGUUCAAAUAAACCUGACUCGAGGGAACUUUAAUAAAAAUAAAGAGUGCACCAUUUACCUUUAAUCCCACCUGCACAAUGGAGGCGAAUUUUGAUGAACAGACUGGCAGUGACAACAUUAGGGGCAGAGGAGGUAAAGGAAGAGGAAAAGGUGGGCAGAUGGCCAGAGGAAGAAGCAGCAGAGGUGUUUUUGGAGGACCUAAGAACCUAGGGCCACCAAGUAGAGGUGAAUCAUCUGGCAGAUUUGGGCGAGGACAAGCAGCUGCUAAUGGAUUUGGCUCGGCAAGACGUGGUAUAGGAAAUACUAGAAUGCGCCCCUACCCAGAUCCUCGUGGACGAAGAGGACCACCUAGAUUUGGACUGCCACUUACGAGCGGAGGGAUGGAAUGUCCAUUUGGUGGACAAGGAGACAUGUCUUUUCCUCCUCCUCCAAGAUUUAGGGGUGGUGGUCCUCCUCCACCACGAUUACCAGUUCCUCCUCCUCCAGGACCAAUGUGCUUCAGAGGAAGACCCCCCUUCAUUCGAGGUAGAAGCAUGCAAAGAGGGGUUUUCUCGCCUCAGAGAGGGUAACAUAGGUAGUGCACCCUGUGUGGCCUACUGGUGAUGCUGAGACUACUGGGAAACUUGAGCACUGAAUUCAGAGAUCUAGGGAAAGGAACUUACGAAAGUAAGGAAUCAACUGUGGAGGUUGAGAAGUUCAUAUUGGAGCAUACAGUAGCUGCAUGGACCAAAUGGCAUCCUUUCCACUCCAACAGUAGUUAUGGAUUGUACUAAGAGGCGACAGGGGCUUGUGGAAUCAUAUCAUAGUUUGAUUGUCAUUUGGAAGGGAGAGGAAAAUAAAUGGGACAAUUUUGCUUUGUGCAUUUUGUUUGGACAAGUAUCUCUUCACAAAAGUCAUAGGCUGUGAAUCUGGAACACGUAAUGAAUGAAUGUAUAUAAUUAUUUUUUUAAAUAAAUAGAUCUGUGAGGAAUUGCAUUGUUUUAAAUUAUGGAAUAGCUAGAUAGUAAUAUUUCCAUCCACUGGUACUUUUUGAGCUAAAAUCGAUACUCUGGCUGCUUCACAGCUUUGGAAAUAAAAGUGAAACUUUCUCAUAUUCUAAUAUUUUGUGUUUGGAUAACCAAUUUUUUUUAAGCUUCUGAUAAUAGUUCAAUCUGAAGUUGUAAAGACUAAUCUAAUUGAUACUAUUUCUGAUGUCUUCUGAGAGUUUGGCAGGAACACAGUAUCUGUGAAGAUGUCGCUUGGACUUGCAAGAAAAAGAUAAGAUGGUCUUCUCUGUUUACCACACUGCUAACUGCUCAUUACCAUUUUUCAUUGCAUGUAGUCAGAAAGAAAAUGGGCAUUGUUUGCACGACCCUCCACUGGCACCCCAUCCAAAAAUAAACCACAUAGUAUUGAACUUACUGUGGGGUCUAGAAAGGUCCCAAGUUCGUGUGGCAGCAGUGGGAGCAAUAUUAGCAUCCCAGAUUAUGGAGAGGAAAGCAGUUAGUCUUGACUGUUUUCUGGUAUUACUUCUUAUGAUAGAUAGAUGGGUUUUAGCUUGGCUAUAGUGUGUGACUAUUCAGAAUCCAAAAUUAGGUACUGGAGGGUGACAGUGCCAAUGGAAAACUAGAAUGGGCAAUAAAUGCUGACCUAGCCAGCAACGUCCGCAUCCUGUGAAAGGAAAAAUAACUUUGUUGAGAAGUAGAUCGGGGAGAAAAACAGAGAAGAAACCAAAUUACUGCACAUUUGAGUGCAAGGGAUUAAUUAGAUGCAUAAAAUAAUACUUGAGUAAAUUGGAAACAUUUCACAAGAGAGAGAUUUGUUCAAAGUGAGAAAUAGUACAGUCACGUAUUGAAAACAUUAAUGAUUGGCAACAUUGUAGCGUACAAAGAUCAGAAAAUUUCUUCUGUUUCUUAAAUUGAGUGAAAAAAUAUUUAAAAGAAAUGUGAACUACAAGGCUUUUUUAAAAUAAAUGCAGUAAAAAUUCACUCUCCAGUGCUUGACAGAUAUUGCUUGGCAAGAUUAAAAGAAUUUGAAAUGAAAUAAUAUGCAGCUGAAAGAAGCACUGAAGUUGCUUUUAUGAUGAGAUUCUCUGGCUGUCCAGUUUACUGGUCUUGAUUUGCAUUUACCUGGGUUAUGUUGCUGCACAUAUAUACUAACUCAACAAACUUGUGGAACUAAAAUGUUAAAGAUAGUGAAACAUUAACAAAGACUCUGAGUCCAUGAAAUAAUUGCAAAUGUACAUUGUUCAACAUUUUACAAAGCCUGAUUUCAAAAUAUUAUCAAUUCAGAGACUCACUGAUUAUAGUCUUUAAAUUUUAAAAUCUAGAAUUUACUGUAGGGGAUGUAAAUUAC